rnacentral:sRNA from 1 species
AUCAAUUAUCCUAAAACACCAAUCAUGUCGUUGUAGUAUUUUAGGUUGUCAAUCCAAAUGGGUGUGAUGCUAACAAUCAAGAUGUGAUUAGAAGUCACUAAGUGAAGCCAAGCAUUAACAGGUUUUGGUGUGUUCUAGCAGUCCUAAGUGAACACGCAGAAAACAGAAAUUCAAGCUGAAACAAGAAAACACUCGACCAACACAGCUCAUUGUAGAGCACUGGGUGUGGUCGAGUGCCAGGUCGGGU